AAUUCGAAGCAACGCGAAGAACCUUACCAGGUCUGACAUCCCUGACACCGAGAGAUCGGGCGUUCCCCUUCGGGGGACAGGGUGACAGGUGGUGCAUGGUGUCGUCAGCUCGUGUCGUGAGAUGUUGGGUUAAGUCCCGCAACGAGCGCAACCCUCAUUGUUAGUUACUACCAUUCAGUUGAGGACUCUAAUGAGACUGCCAACGGAUAAGGUUGGAGGAAGGUGGGGGAAUGACGUCAAAUCAUCAUGCCCUUUAUGACCUGGGCUACAAACGUACUACAAUGGCCAAUACAAAGAGAUGCGAAGCGGUGACGUGGAGCGAACCUCAGAAAGUUGGUCUCAGUUCAGAUUGAAGUCUGCAGCUCGACUUCAUGAAGGCGGAAUCGCUAGUAAUCGCGGGUCAGCAGACCGCGGUGAAUACGUUCCCGGGUUUU
rnacentral:rRNA from 1 species